GGGAAUAAUAACGGUAAAUAGGGUUGACCGCUACUAUCGGCACCGAGACGUUACCCGGUUUACGUGAUUUUUGAACCAUAGGCGUAUUUCACUAUUCUGAACACAUCUUAUUUCACAAGACUUUUGAUAAUUUUGCUUCCUAUGUAGAGUUGGUUCACAAAGAAGUUAUAUAACAUUAGUAGACACGUUGUGAUUCCAAUGACUAAAAUUCACAAACCAAAAUUCGACCACCAGAUAUGAUCAUUAUAACGAAAGAUGUCUAUGGUAAAAAAUUUAACUAGAUUCGACAACGUUAAGGGCUCGAUCGAAACGGUCAACUCUAAUCGGAAAUAAGAAAACUGCAUUUUGAAGCCCUAAACGGACUCGGAUGGCCAAAAAGGCUCAUAUUUCAUAGCAAAGCUAUGUGUUUGACUCGUAAGGCCGUUACGCUUCCGGAAAGGUAUCACAAUAGUCAAUCGGACACCGAACGCCAAAUCUGCAGCAUAUAUACCGGGUUUCGACUGUUCUACAUCAGAGACGUUACCUGAUUUACGUUAUUUUUGAACCAUAGCCGUAUUUCACCAUUCUGAACAUAUCUAUUUCACGAGAUUUUUGAUAAUUUUGCUUCUAUGUAGAGUUGGUUCACAAAGUUGUGUAUUUGUUUAAAACCUACUAAGCAAGUUAUACAACAUUUUAUUAUUUUUCUUUUAACCGACGAAAUAGUAGUAUCGUCGGCUAAAGUUGUGAAUAGCCGACGACUUUUUUCGAUAAUAGCCGACGAGAUUUUUUUUCGUCUACUAAAAUACUUUAGCCAACGAGUAAAAACUUUGGCCGACGAAGGAAAACUUUGGCCGACGAAAAAAAAUUUAGUCGGCUAAAGUAUAGUAUAGCCUAGCCGAUGAAAAAAUUUCUUUAGCUGACGAAAUUUUAAAUUAGCCGACGAAGGAAAAUUUCGUCGGCUAACGUUGACUUUAGCCUAUGAAAAAAUAAUUCGUCGGCCUGGUUUUUUUAUUUUCGUCGGCUAAAGCCUUUCUUCUGAUAAUGAGAGAAAGGUUUUGGAGAGAGGCAGCGAUGCAUCUCUUCUUCUUUUUUUUCACUUGUGGUUUUGUGAAAUCAACAUAUAUAUAUGGGCCAAUGAUAAAAGGGUACAGUUAGAUGUAAUAAAUGAUAACACAGUUAAUAAUAUUCAUUGAUGAUAAACAGUACCUCUAUUAAAUCUCUUAAAGCGUUACCCAUGAAAAUAAAAAA
rnacentral:lncRNA from 1 species